GCUGAGCCUUCACAAACCUGUGGACUACAACAUCUUAUCAGAAGACAAAGACGAGAGUCCAUCGUCGCGCCGAGGGCCACAGGCAAUUAUCAGCACUUCCUGACCUUCUGGAAAACCACAAUAGAGGAGGACAGUGGAUAGACUCGGGAACAGGGAAGAGAGAGGGGAGAGACAUGCAGGGAAUGAUGCCACAGGCCGAAGUCGAACCUGAACCACCCGCGUUCAUGGCGCACGCCCCAACCACUGGACUACCGCCUGUGACGCUGACGGUGGAGAUCCAGACGGCUGCUUUGACAGAACGGAUCCAAAUGAUGAGCGAUGAUUAUCAGGGGUGAGAAGGAUGACAGCAGGCCCCGGACGCUCACCAGACGUCUCCUGGCUUGGCGUUUGAAAAUGACACACUGCCGACAGUCUGAGUGUGUGCACAUAAAGGUGUGAUGGAAAGUUGAGCGAAGGCAGGCGAUGGGGUCGGAGCAGUCAGGGUGCAUCAGCCGGACUGCUGCAGACGUCAGGACAGGAAAGUAAAAGAGGCUGAUCAAAGGAGGAUGACUCACGGCGUGA